rnacentral:rRNA from 1 species
AGUGAACGCUGGCGGUAGGCCUAACACAUGCGAGUCGAACGGCAGCACAGUAAGAGCUUGCUCUUACGGGUGGCGAGUGGCGGACGGGUGAGGAAUACAUCGGAAUCUACUUUUUCGUGGGGGAUAACGUAGGGAAACUUACGCUAAUACCGCAUACGACCUACGGGUGAAAGCAGGGGAUCUUCGCACCUUGCGCGAUUGAAUGAGCCGAUGUCGGAUUAGCUAGUUGGCGGGGUAAAGGCCCACCAAGGCGACGAUCCGUAGCUGGUCGGAGAGGAUGAUCAGCCACACUGGAACUGAGACACGGUCCAGACUCCUACGGGAGGCAGCAGUGGGGAAUAUUGGACAAUGGGCGCAAGCCUGAUCCAGCCAUACCGCGUGGGUGAAGAAGGCCUUCGGGUUGUAAAGCCCUUUUGUUGGGAAAGAAAAGCAGCAGGUUAAUACCCCGCUGUUCUGACGGUACCCAAAGAAUAAGCACCGGCUAACUUCGUG